rnacentral:rRNA from 1 species
AGAGUUUGAUCAUGGCUCAGGACAAACGCUGGCGGCGUGCCUAAAACAUGCAAGUCGUACGGUCCUUCGGGACAGUGGCGGACGGCUGAGUAACACGUAGGUGACCUACCCUUGAGUGGGGAAUAACGCUCCGAAAGGAGCGCUAAUACCGCAUACGACCACUGCAUCUCGGUGUGGUGAGGAAAGCAGCAAUGCGCUCGGGGACGGGCCUGCGUCCGAUUAGCUUGUUGGUGAGGUAACGGCUCACCAAGGCGACGAUCGGUAACUGGUCUAAGAGGAUGAUCAGUCAGACUGGGACUGUGACACGGCCCAGACUCCUACGGGAGGCAGCAGUUAGGAAUCUUGGGCAAUGGGCGAAAGCCUGACCCAGCAACGCCGCGUGGGUGACGAAGGCCUUCGGGUCGUAAAGCCCUUUUGCACGGGAAGAUAAUGACGGUACCGUGCGAAUAAGCCCCGGCUAACUACGUGCCAGCAGCCGCGGUAAUACGUAGGGGGCGAGCGUUGUCCGGAUUUAUUGGGCGUAAAAGGCUUGUAGGUGGCCACGCCAAGUCGGAUGUGAAAUCUCCCGGCUCAACUGGGAGGGGUCAUUCGAUACUGGCGGGCUCGAGGCCGGUAGGGGGAAGCGGAAUUCCCGGUGUAGUGGUGGAAUGCGUAGAUAUCGGGAGGAACACCAGUGGCGAAGGCGGCUUCCUGGACCGGUUCUGACACUGAGGAGCGAAAGCGUGGGGAGCGAUCCGGAUUAGAUACCCGGGUAGUCCACGCCGUAAACGUUGGGCACUAGAUGUCGGGGGUAUCGACCCCUCCGGUGUCGCAGCUAACGCAUUAAGUGCCCUGCCUGGGGAGUACGGCCGCAAGGCUAAAACUCAAAGGAAUUGACGG